rnacentral:lncRNA from 1 species
GUAUUACUACAUUGAGAAAAGGGUUACUACUACAUUGAAAAAAGGGUACCACUACAUUGAAAAAAGGGUAUUACUACUACAUUGAAAAAAGGGUAUUACUACUACAUUGAAAAAAGGGUAUUACUACUACAUUGAAAAAAGGGUAUUACUACUACAUUGAAAAAAGGGUACCACUACAUUGAAAAAAGGGUAUUACUACAUUGAGAAAAGGGUAUUACUACUACAUUGAAAAAAGGGUACCACUACAUUGAAAAAAGGGUAUUACUACAUUGAGAAAAGGGUAUUACUACUACAUUGAGAAAAGGGUAUUACUACUACAUUGAAAAAAGGGUACCACUACAUUGAAAAAAGGGUAUUACUACAUUGAGAAAAGGGUAUUACUACUACAUUGAGAAAAGGGUAUUACCACUACAUUGAAAAAAGGGUAUUACCACUACAUUGAAAAAAGGGUAUUACCACUACAUUGAAAAAAGGGUAUUACUACUACAUUGAAAAAAGGGUAUUACUACUACAUUGAAAAAAGGG